rnacentral:rRNA from 1 species
AACGCUGGCGGCACGCUUAACACAUGCAAGUCGAACGAAAAUGUUUCACCGUAGCUUGCUACACCGAGACAUUUUAGUGGCGGACGGGUGAGUAACGCGUGGAUAACCUGCCGUAUACAGGGGGAUAACACUUAGAAAUAGGUGCUAAUACCGCAUAGGCGCACAGUUUCGCAUGAGACAGUGUGAAAAACUCCGGUGGUAUAGGAUGGACCCGCGUCUGAUUAGAUAGUUGGUGAGGUAACGGCUCACCAAGUCGACGAUCAGUAGCCGGCCUGAGAGGGUGAACGGCCACAUUGGGACUGAGACACGGCCCAAACUCCUACGGGAGGCAGCAGUGGGGAAUAUUGCACAAUGGGGGAAACCCUGAUGCAGCGACGCCGCGUGAGUGAAGAAGUAUUUCGGUAUGUAAAGCUCUAUCAGCAGGGAAGAAAAUGACGGUACCUGACUAAGAAGCCCCGGCUAACUACGUG